UGAGCCUCUCUGUGUGAGGAAGCUUUGCUGCUGCAGACCUGGUGAAGUGUCUCUGCUGCAGUGCUGAAGGUAUUCAUUGUAAUGAUGUGUGUAUUUAUUCAACAUGUUUAGUUUCACAGAUUAUCAACACAAAUGUUUCUGUUUAUUUCCUGUUUUGAACCAGCUACAUUCUCCUACUUCAAGUCACUGUCUGUCCAUCCACGGUGUAGCUAGUGCAGCUAACUAACGGUGAUCCUACAAUCAAUUGUAUUGAUGACAGAGUUAAAGUGAAGGGGAUUUUGUUUGUUUUUUUCAGACCUCUCCUCCUCCUGCCCCUGACUCCAGUGAUGCUGUCAACUCGAACACUGAUAACUGCACACAGCGAUUCUACAACCACAGGUCAAAGGUCAAAACAUUACCUCACUCAAAACCUUCAUUCAGAACUGUACCGGGCUCGGGUUUUGGUUUUGAAAAAAAGUGCCGAGACAGAACACAGUACUCACUUGAGGAACUGACUGAUUUUCUUCAGGACAGGACAACUAUUACUCUUAUAUUGUUUUGAAUCCUGUUUUCUACAUUAAGUGAUCGGUUGUCGAUAUCUGUUAAUAUUUUAAGUUUCCUUUAUGUUUCUUGGACUUUAUUUGUUGUAUUUUAUUUUAGUAUUUUCUUCCCCUUUUACUGUGUAUCUGUCCUUAUUUCAAUAGAUGACCAACACUGAUGAGGGGAAAUAAUACCAGUUACUUCAGU